AUUGCUUCUCGGCCUUUUGGCUAAGAUCAAGUGUAAAUGUAUAAAAACAUUUACACAUUUAUUUAAAUGUAUAAAAAACAUAAAGAAUAUGUAAUUUGGCCAGGGGCAGUGGUUCAUUCCUGUAAUCCUAGCCCUUUGGGAGGCCAUGGUGGGCAGAUCGCUUGAACCCAGGAGUUCGAGACCAACC
ensembl:snRNA RNU2-45P RNA, U2 small nuclear 45, pseudogene